UGAGGAAUAUUGGUCAAUGGUCGGGAGACUGAACCAGCCAAGCCGCGUGAGGGAUGAAGGUACAGAGUAUCGUAAACCUCUUUUGUCAGGGAACAAAAGGCGCCACGCGUGGCGCUCCGAGUGUACCUGAAGAAAAAGCAUCGGCUAACUCCGUGCCAGCAGCCGCGGUAAUACGGAGGAUGCGAGCGCUAUCCGGAUUUAUUGGGUUUAAAGGGUGCGUAGGCGGCGAGUUAAGUCAGCGGUAAAAGCCCGGGGCUCAACCCCGGCCCGCCGUUGAAACUGGCUUGCUUGAGUUGGAGAGAAGUAGGCGGAAUGCGCGGUGUAGCGGUGAAAUGCUUAGAUAUCGCGCAGAACUCCGAUUGCGAAGGCAGCCUACCGGCUCCAGACUGACGCUGAGGCACGAAAGCGUGGGUAUCGAACAGGAUUAGAUACCC
rnacentral:rRNA from 1 species